rnacentral:lncRNA from 1 species
AAAAAAAGGGUCGGCCUGUUCUGGACGUAGGUGCCGCCGACGCGGUGAAGCUCCAUGGCCCAAGCACUUGGUGCAUCGGUAGAUGAGUGGCGGGGCACGACAACGACUGGUGACGUGGAGCUUCGGGGGUGGAGCCGGCGCAGCAAGGCGAGGUAGAGCCGACGCGGCGGGUCACAACGCAGCGGCAAGGCGAAGUGGAAACGACGCGGCGGGUCGCAGCGCAGCGGAAGGUCGCGGCGCAGCGGCAAGGCGAGGUAGAGCCGACAUGGCGGGUCGCGCGUCGGACGUGCGGGCGCGCGAGGGGGCAACCUGGCCGGCACAUCGAGGUACCGGGACAGUUCGGACGCGCGCCGGCGAGUCUGUGUCUAUUUCUUCUUCCGGAUCGUGGACCACCUCUUCCUUUUCUCUUUGAUCUUCAUGUGAUGUUCCUGAUAAAAACUGAUUUGAUGGUUAUCAAAGUUGCACUGUCGGC